rnacentral:rRNA from 1 species
GAUGAACGCUGGCGGCGUGCCUAAUACAUGCAAGUCGAGCGAACGGACGAGAAGCUUGCUUCUCUGAUGUUAGCGGCGGACGGGUGAGUAACACGUGGAUAACCUACCUAUAAGACUGGGAUAACUUCGGGAAACCGGAGCUAAUACCGGAUAAUAUUUUGAACCGCAUGGUUCAAAAGUGAAAGACGGUCUUGCUGUCACUUAUAGAUGGAUCCGCGCUGCAUUAGCUAGUUGGUGAGGUAACGGCUUACCAAGGCAACGAUGCAUAGCCGACCUGAGAGGGUGAUCGGCCACACUGGAACUGAGACACGGUCCAGACUCCUACGGGAGGCAGCAGUAGGGAAUCUUCCGCAAUGGGCGAAAGCCUGACGGAGCAACGCCGCGUGAGUGAUGAAGGUCUUCGGAUCGUAAAACUCUGUUAUUAGGGAAGAACAUAUGUGUAAGUAACUGUGCACAUCUUGACGGUACCUAAUCAGAAAGCCACGGCUAACUACGUGCCAGCAGCCGCGGUAAUACGUAGGUGGCAAGCGUUAUCCGGAAUUAUUGGGCGUAAAGCGCGCGUAGGCGGUUUUUUAAGUCUGAUGUGAAAGCCCACGGCUCAACCGUGGAGGGUCAUUGGAAACUGGAAAACUUGAGUGCAGAAGAGGAAAGUGGAAUUCCAUGUGUAGCGGUGAAAUGCGCAGAGAUAUGGAGGAACACCAGUGGCGAAGGCGACUUUCUGGUCUGUAACUGACGCUGAUGUGCGAAAGCGUGGGGAUCAAACAGGAUUAGAUACCCUGGUAGUCCACGCCGUAAACGAUGAGUGCUAAGUGUUAGGGGGUUUCCGCCCCUUAGUGCUGCAGCUAACGCAUUAAGCACUCCGCCUGGGGAGUACGACCGCAAGGUUGAAACUCAAAGGAAUUGACGGGGGCCCGCACAAGCGGUGGAGCAUGUGGUUUAAUUCGAAGCAACGCGAAGAACCUUACCAAAUCUUGACAUCCUUUGACAACUCUAGAGAUAGAGCCUUCCCCUUCGGGGGACAAAGUGACAGGUGGUGCAUGGUUGUCGUCAGCUCGUGUCGUGAGAUGUUGGGUUAAGUCCCGCAACGAGCGCAACCCUUAAGCUUAGUUGCCAUCAUUAAGUUGGGCACUCUAAGUUGACUGCCGGUGACAAACCGGAGGAAGGUGGGGAUGACGUCAAAUCAUCAUGCCCCUUAUGAUUUGGGCUACACACGUGCUACAAUGGACAAUACAAAGGGCAGCGAAACCGCGAGGUCAAGCAAAUCCCAUAAAGUUGUUCUCAGUUCGGAUUGUAGUCUGCAACUCGACUACAUGAAGCUGGAAUCGCUAGUAAUCGUAGAUCAGCAUGCUACGGUGAAUACGUUCCCGGGUCU